rnacentral:sRNA from 1 species
GCUGGGCAUGGUGGCUCAUGCCUGUGAUCCCAGCACUUUGGGAGGCCGAGGUGGGUGGAUUACCUGAGGUCAGGAGUUCAAGACCAGCCUGGCCAACAUGGUAAAAACCCUGUACUCUACUAAAAAUACAAAAAUUAGGCUGGGAGCAGAGGCUCACGCCUGUAAUCCCAACACUUUGGGAGGCCGAGGCCACCACGACCAGCUAAUUUUUGCAUUUUCAGCAGAGACGGGGUUUCACCAUGUUGGUCAGGCGGGUCUCGAACUCCUGACCUCAGGUGAUCCACCUGCCCU